rnacentral:rRNA from 1 species
UACGUAGGUGGCGAGCGUUGUCCGGAUUUACUGGGCGUAAAGAGCGCGCAGGCGGUCGUACAAGUCGCGUGUGAAAGCCCUCGGCUCAACUGGGGAGGGUCACGCGAUACUGUUCGACUCGAAGGCAGGAGAGGGAAGUGGAAUUCCCGGUGUAGUGGUGAAAUGCGUAGAUAUCAAGAGGAACACCUGCGGCGAAGGCGGGUUGCUGGGCCGACACUGACGCUGAUGCGCGAAAGCUAGGGGAGCGAACGGG